rnacentral:rRNA from 1 species
CAGUCGAGCGGACAGAUGGGAGCUUGCUCCCUGAUGUUAGCGGCGGACGGGUGAGUAACACGUGGGUAACCUGCCUGUAAGACUGGGAUAACUCCGGGAAACCGGGGCUAAUACCGGAUGGUUGUUUGAACCGCAUGGUUCAAACAUAAAAGGUGGCUUCGGCUACCACUUACAGAUGGACCCGCGGCGCAUUAGCUAGUUGGUGAGGUAACGGCUCACCAAGGCAACGAUGCGUAGCCGACCUGAGAGGGUGAUCGGCCACACUGGGACUGAGACACGGCCCAGACUCCUACGGGAGGCAGCAGUAGGGAAUCUUCCGCAAUGGACGAAAGUCUGACGGAGCAACGCCGCGUGAGUGAUGAAGGUUUUCGGAUCGUAAAGCUCUGUUGUUAGGGAAGAACAAGUACCGUUCGAAUAGGGCGGUACCUUGACGGUACCUAACCAGAAAGCCACGGCUAACUACGUGCCAGCAGCCGCGGUAAUACGUAGGUGGCAAGCGUUGUCCGGAAUUAUUGGGCGUAAAGGGCUCGCAGGCGGUUUCUUAAGUCUGAUGUGAAAGCCCCCGGCUCAACCGGGGAGGGUCAUUGGAAACUGGGGAACUUGAGUGCAGAAGAGGAGAGUGGAAUUCCACGUGUAGCGGUGAAAUGCGUAGAGAUGUGGAGGAACACCAGUGGCGAAGGCGACUCUCUGGUCUGUAACUGACGCUGAGGAGCGAAAGCGUGGGGAGCGAACAGGAUUAGAUACCCUGGUAGUCCACGCCGUAACGAUGAGUGCUAAGUGUUAGGGGGUUUCCGCCCCUUAGUGCUGCAGCUAACGCAUUAAGCACUCCGCCUGGGGAGUACGGGUCGCAAGACUGAAACUCAAAGGAAUUGACGGGGGCCCGCACAA